AUUAGAGUUUGAUCCUGGCUCAGAAUCAACGCUGGCGGCGUGCCUCAGACAUGCAAGUCGAACGCGAAAGACCCCUUCGGGGGUCCGGUAGAGUGGCGCUCGGGUGAGUAACACGUGGGUAAUUUGCCUUCGGGUGGGGAAUAACAGUCGGAAACGGCUGCUAAUACCGCAUAAUGCAGCGGCACCUAAUGGUGACAGUUGUUAAAGCGGGGGAGUCCAAAAGAUCCUCGCGCCUGAAGAGAAGCCCGCGGCGGAUUAGCUAGUUGGUGAGGUAAUGGCUCACCAAGGCAACGAUCCGUAGCCGGCCUGAGAGGGCACACGGCCACACUGGCACUGAAACACGGGCCAGACUCCUACGGGAGGCAGCAGUGGGGAAUCUUGCACAAUGGGGGAAACCCUGAUGCAGCGACGCCGCGUGAGCGAUGAAGCCCUUCGGGGUGUAAAGCUCUUUCGGCAGGAACGAUAAUGACGGUACCUGAAGAAGAAGCUGCGGCUAACUACGUGCCAGCAGCCGCGGUAAUACGUAGGCAGCGAGCGUUGUUCGGAGUUACUGGGCGUAAAGCGUGCGUAGGCGGUUUUCUAAGUCUGGUGUGAAAUCUCCUGGCUCAACUGGGAGGGUGCGCCGGAAACUGGGAAGCUGGAGUAUGGGAGAGGUAAGCGGAAUUCCUGGUGUAGCGGUGAAAUGCGUAGAUAUCAGGAGGAACACCUGUGGUGUAGACGGCUUACUGGACCAUAACUGACGCUGAGGCACGAAAGCGUGGGUAGCAAACAGGAUUAGAUACCCUGGUAGUCCACGCCCUAAACGAUGCAUACUUGGUGUGGGCAAUUCAUUUUGUCUGUGCCGGAGCUAACGCGUUAAGUAUGCCGCCUGGGGAGUACGGUCGCAAGGCUGAAACUCAAAGGAAUUGACGGGGGCCCGCACAAGCGGUGGAGCAUGUGGUUUAAUUCGACGCAACGCGAAGAACCUUACCUGGGCUCGAACGGCUUUAGACCGGGUUUAGAAAUAGACCUUUUCCCGCAAGGGACUGAAGUCGAGGUGCUGCAUGGCUGUCGUCAGCUCGUGUCGUGAGAUGUUGGGUUAAGUCCCGCAACGAGCGCAACCCUUGUCCUGUGUUGCUAAUCCGCAAGGAUGCACUCUCAGGAGACCGCCAGCGAUAAGCUGGAGGAAGGUGGGGAUGACGUCAAGUCAUCAUGGCCUUUAUGUCCAGGGCUACACACGUGCUACAAUGGACGGUACAGACCGCCGCAAACCCGCGAGGGGGAGCAAAUCGGAAAAAACCGUUCUCAGUUCGGAUUGCAGGCUGCAACUCGCCUGCAUGAAGCUGGAAUCGCUAGUAAUGGCAUAUCAGAACGAUGCCGUGAAUACGUUCCCGGGCCUUGUACACACCGCCCGUCACAUCACGAAAGUGGGUUGUACUAGAAGUCUGCGCGCUAACCCGCAAGGGGAGCAGCGGCCCAAGGUAUGACUCAUGAUUGGGGUGAAGUCGUAACAAGGUAACCAAU
rnacentral:rRNA from 1 species